CGGGGCAUAGCGCAGUCCGGUGAGCGCACCUGCUUUGGGAGCAGGGGGUCGCAGGUUCAAAUCCUGCUGCCCCGA
rnacentral:tRNA from 1 species